rnacentral:rRNA from 1 species
AACGAACGCUGGCGGCAUGCCUAACACAUGCAAGUCGAACGAGACCUUCGGGUCUAGUGGCGCACGGGUGCGUAACGCGUGGGAACCUGCCUUUAGGUUCGGAAUAACUCAGAGAAAUUUGAGCUAAUACCGGAUAAUGUCUUCGGACCAAAGAUUUAUCGCCUUUAGAUGGGCCCGCGUAAGAUUAGCUAGUUGGUGGGGUAAAGGCCUACCAAGGCGACGAUCUUUAGCUGGUCUGAGAGGAUGAUCAGCCACACUGGGACUGAGACACGGCCCAGACUCCUACGGGAGGCAGCAGUGGGGAAUAUUGGACAAUGGGCGAAAGCCUGAUCCAGUAAUGCCGCGUGAGUGAUGAAGGCCUUAGGGUUGUAAAGCUCUUUUACCCGUAGAUGAUAAUGACAGUAUCGGGAGAAUAAGCUCCGGCUAACUCCGUGCCAGCAGCCGCGGUAAU